AAAAUGACGUAGAAAAGAAGAGUAGACAGUGUAUACUUUCUCAGAGAGUUCUCAUUUGGUGCAAGAGGAUAAAGCGAAGCUGUUGAAAAUGGUCUUGGAGUCGCAUGGUCGAAGAACGUUUAGGCUAUGACGUGUUCGCUCGUUACAGCGAUAGAGUAUAACUUUCUGUUUGAAGGCGUACUUGAUGAGAUCUAUCUUGCAAAAGAUGGGUGAAUUUAGGUGGUAACACGAUAAGCACAAGCUUUCGUCCUAAUG
rnacentral:ncRNA from 1 species